rnacentral:tRNA from 1 species
AAAGGGAGACCUAAUUCGGGUAUAAGACGAAAAAAUAGUAGUCGAAACCAAGAAUCAAUCCCAAAAGGUCGGAACGAGGUAUGUGGCUUUCAAACUAGGUUCUGGGUUCAUAAAAGACCUGAAUCAGGAACAAGGGCUAUUAGCUCAGGUGGUUAGAGCGCACCCCUGAUAAGGGUGAGGUCCCUGGUUCGAGUCCAGGAUGGCCCACCUGCACAGGUGGCAAAAAGAAAGAAAAGAAGCGAGGAAUCAGCACCUUAUCUUACUUAUAUAGUAAGAGAGAAUGCUGGCUCUGAGUACAGAGUCCAGAGGAACCUUGAAAACUGCAUAGAGCUAGGUGAAAAAGCCAAAAAAGAAGACCGCAAG